CUCUCACUAUCGGAUGAACCCAGAUGGGAUUAGCUAGUAGGCGGGGUAAUGGCCCACCUAGGCGACGAUCCCUAGCUGGUCUGAGAGGAUGACCAGCCACACUGGAACUGAGACACGGUCCAGACUCCUACGGGAGGCAGCAGUGGGGAAUAUUGCACAAUGGGCGCAAGCCUGAUGCAGCCAUGCCGCGUGUAUGAAGAAGGCCUUCGGGUUGUAAAGUACUUUCAGCGGGGAGGAAGGCGAUGGGGUUAAUAACCCUGUCGAUUGACGUUACCCGCAGAAGAAGCACCGGCUAACUCCGUG
rnacentral:rRNA from 1 species